rnacentral:rRNA from 1 species
UGGGGAAUAUUGCACAAUGGGCGCAAGCCUGAUGCAGCCAUGCCGCGUGUAUGAAGAAGGCCUUCGGGUUGUAAAGUACUUUCAGCGGGGAGGAAGGCGUUGUGGUUAAUAACCACAGCGAUUGACGUUACCCGCAGAAGAAGCACCGGCUAACUCCGUGCCAGCAGCCGCGGUAAUACGGAGGGUGCAAGCGUUAAUCGGAAUUACUGGGCGUAAAGCGCACGCAGGCGGUCUGUUAAGUCAGAUGUGAAAUCCCCGGGCUCAACCUGGGAACUGCAUUUGAAACUGGCAGGCUUGAGUCUCGUAGAGGGGGGUAGAAUUCCAGGUGUAGCGGUGAAAUGCGUAGAGAUCUGGAGGAAUACCGGUGGCGAAGGCGACCACCUGGACUAAUACUGACACUGAGGUGCGAAAGCGUGGGGAGCAAACA